UGGCUAAGGGGAUGGAGUCAGCAUGAA
rnacentral:piRNA from 1 species